GAACUUUUGGGGAGAGUUGGGUUUUGACCUGGUGGGGACCUUGAGCUCUCUCCCUGAAGAGGGAUUUGUGGCUUAGGGGUUGGUUUUUAUUUGCAGGGUGCUUGGGCCUGAGACAAAACCAACAAACAGCUCUUAGGACACCUGCUUGACCUGCACUGCUUUGAUUUAAGGAAAUUAAACUCUGCCCCAUAGAGAAAGAGCUGAAAUCCUGCUGCUUUUGGGAAUGUUAUUUCAAUGUACUUGUUCAGUGAGUUGGCCUGGUAGUUUACAAUUCAGAAACCCUGGAGCACUUGUGAAUGGUGAGGGAAGUACACUAUUCAUUAUCUGCUGUCAGGCAUUCAUCAUGCCAGCUAAGCUUCAAUCCUCUCAUCAGGAUGCAGAACAUUACUUAUGACCAGUCACAGGCCAUGAAUAAUGGCUUAACGAAAUGAACAGUUCUUCAGCAGUUCAGACCCAGCUCACAGGAAAAGCUGAAGUUUGCCUGCACCAAAGCAUUGUAUGUUCUUUAUUUGAGAAAACAGAGGAAAAAUGCAACCCAAACAACAUUUCAGUUUCUCCAGCAAAAAGUUUCUAUUUUGAUUUAUUGAAAACUUGUCCAACCAGUUAUUUAUAUUUUAUCUGUGAAAGACUCAAAAAAAUUUCAUCCGAAACAUAUUUCCAUGGAAACGUCCAUCUUUGAUGAGAUGUCGUUCCUCAGAUGUUUCAGCUGAAGAAUUUUGUCAGUUCUGGCAGGAAAAAAAAAAAAAGAGUGGGGGACAGAACAAAGACCAAGCUCCCAGGAAAACAUGCAAUGCUUCAAGUUAAUGGGCUAAAAUGUCAGCUGGUAAACUGCCAUAAAGCCAGAGAAGUCAACCAGUCGACCCGAGUCAACGGAGCUAUGCUAAUUUACACAGAGGAUCUGGCCUUAGAUUUUAAUAGAACCAGCCAAGCAAGCUGUUUCUCCACUUGCCCAUCCUCCUCCCUUUUUAAUAAGCUCUCAGUCAUACUCAGCCUAUCCUUUAAUAAUUCACCCUUCUCUCCUCAUGAUCCCUCUUUCCUCUCUGGAGAUAAUGGGAUGGGAUUUUCUGCGCGCAGCCCUCACAGAAAUAUCGCAGGCAGGUUAAACUCCGCGCAGCUGGCUGCUGGCUUCUAACACAUCCCUCGUGCCUCUUCCUGCACUCUGAUAUCCAUCUUCCCUCUGGUCUCUGCUUAGCCAGGGCCAGCUGACUCCAGUGCAGGUUGCCAUAGAUUACGACCCAGUGCAUGGUGCUGUAAUCCAUGGAUCCCGGGAUGCUGAAGUAUUAAGCUCACAGAGCAAUCAAUUACUUUAAUGGGACUUGUGUGCGUCUGGCCACCGCUCUGGAAAACAGAUCUAUGAGAUAGCUCCAGGACACAAUCCAGCCUCUGGACCAAGAGGCUCCUCUGCUGCAGAAGUUUUUCUAGCUCGGGGCCAAACACAAUUGGCAAGGUGCACAUUAUGGGGUUUUUUUGUUGUUCUGUGUAACUACAGCAUGAAUGACUGCGUGAAACUCUCUGUCCUAUGUAACAUGUAGCUGUAUGAAAUAAAAACUCCAUCAUCACCAGUUACAGAGUUGCAAGUUUCUUACCCUGUUCCCCUAAAAUUUUUAAGACCCACCGGAUUACUUUUCCUAAUCUAGUUCUAGUUUCUUGUUGACCAUGUUCUUCCCUUUUUGCUGCUUUGGCUAAAUACAACAGAGAAGUGUUGAUGCAGAAAGACUCCCUUGCAGACCUUAAAAGGCUCAAGCAUAUUGGAAGAUCCUCAUUGAAAAAGGAGUGACACCUGAUUGCCAUAAAAGUAAAUAGUUCUGGGUCUCCAGAGGAUGUGAGCCCUUAUUUUCAGUGAAAUAUUUCAAAUAUUUCAGUUAUUUAUACCUGCUCUUGUUCACAUGGAGGAGUGAAGAUACCAUACAGAGCCUGAGAUGUGUCCUGUGUUGAUUUCUCAGACACCCAGAGCAUGGAGCAGACCUUUUGCACACCUUUUCCCACAGUAGCUGAGAUGAUGUUUGACUGUUCCAGGUACAGAGCUGUAACUGCAUCUUCCAGAGGAAUAAAAAGUAAUGUGUGCGAAUGGUUCCCUUACUGAAGCCCUGUGGACUCUGCAUUGAUUAAAUCAGUGUUUUGGAACGACAGAAGUGUGAUUGAUGUCAUUUGAAUUUCAGCUCAGCAUCUUGAUUGGCAUUUUUGUGUAAUGACUUUUCCUUAUUUGUUGAAUUUAAUUGAUGGUUGUUGCAUUUAUUUCCAAAGAACGUUGCUUUAAUUAAGAAAAAAAUCUCUGCUCUACAGAAAUUAAUAUUCCCCAUCUAUAUGGCACAAAAGGGUGUGUGGUGAACAUAGAGAAUAAUUAGUAGCUGUAGGAGGAGAACUUAUGAGAAGAUGAUUAUGAAUAUGUAAUAGAGGAAAUAGACUACAAGGAAAUUAAACCAAUAAAUUUAUGAGUGAAUAAUUGACCUCUGAGUAAAUAAGAGCGUUCUCUCCUCAGCCACUUGACGUGUUGUUAACCACUCAGUAUGUCAGAGCAUUAACCACCCUUUUAACCAACCACUCCUUUGCUGUUGGCAGCAACUCACUCUGCAGAGCUGCCUUGCUGUCUUGCAGGGUGAUGUGUGCACCCUGCCAUGAGCACACGCGGUGCCAGAGCUUUGGGGUGGCUGGGAGAAAGGUCAUGAUCUGUUACACACGUGUAAAUCUACCCUUAGCCAAAGGAAAUGUUUGCAGGGAGUAAUUAAAUCUGCUGCAAAACCAUGCUGUUCAAAACGAGAGCAAAAUUUUGUCAACUGCCACCAAAUGAAGUCAGGUCUUUCCACCAUUAGGGCAUCAACCCAAAGCUGAUAUUUUCAGAGUUGAUGGCAAAG